CUGUGCCACGGAUCAUAAUUUAAGGUAACCCCGAGCUGAGAGUUCACUCCUCAACUCUGUUUCUGUAGCCAGCUUCCCUGCUCUCAUAACCUG